AUAGCGUAUAUUAAUUUUGUUGCGGUUAAAAAGCUCGUAGUUGGAUCUCGGUUUCGGGCGAGUGGUGUACCUUGCGGUAUUUACUGUUUGCCCGGACGAUUUUGCUGGUUCGUUUAUGGUUCUCUUAACCGAGUGCCAUAAGUGGCCAGCACGUUUACUUUGAAAAAAUUGGAGUGCUCAAAGCAGGCGCUACAGCCUGAACAUUAGUGCAUGGAAUAAUGGAAUAGGAUCUCGGUUCUAUUUCGUUGGCUUUCGGAGUCGAGGUAAUGAUUAAUAGGGACAGACGGGGGCAUUCGUACUGCGACGUUAGAGGUGAAAUUCUUGGAUCGUCGCAAGACGAACUACUG
rnacentral:rRNA from 1 species